AGAGUUUGAUCCUGGCUCAGGAUGAACGCUAGCGGGAGGCUUAACACAUGCAAGUCGAGGGGCAGCAUUAUCUGCUUGCAGAUAGAUGGCGACCGGCGGACGGGUGCGUAACGCGUAUAUAACUUGCCUAUCACUAGAGGAUACCCAUUGGAAACGAUGAAUAAGACUCUAUAGGCUGUAGAUUUGCAUAAAUUUAACAGUAAAGGUUACGGUGGUAGAUAGGUAUGCGUCCAAUUAGCUAGUUGGUAAGGUAAUGGCUUACCAAGGCGAUGAUUGGUAGGGGGCCUGAGAGGGCGAACCCCCACACUGGUACUGAGACACGGACCAGACUCCUACGGGAGGCAGCAGUGAGGAAUAUUGGUCAAUGGAGGGAACUCUGAACCAGCCAUCCCGCGUGUAGGAAGACGGCCUUAUGGGUUGUAAACUACUUUUAUACAGGAAGAAACUUAUCCACGAGUGGAUAACUGACGGUACUGUAGGAAUAAGCACCGGCUAACUCCGUGCCAGCAGCCGCGGUAAUACGGAGGGUGCGAGCGUUAUCCGGAUUUAUUGGGUUUAAAGGGUCCGUAGGCGGGCUAAUAAGUCAGUGGUGAAAUCCCGUCGCUUAACGAUGGAACUGCCAUUGAUACUGUUAGUCUUGAAUAAGGUUGCAGUGGUUGGAAUGUGUAGUGUAGCGGUGAAAUGCUUAGAUAUUACACAGAACACCAAUUGCGAAAGGCAGAUCACUAAGCCUUUAUUGACGCUGAGGGACGAAAGCGUGGGGAGCGAACAGGAUUAGAUACCCUGGUAGUCCACGCCGUAACGAUGAUUACUCGGGUGUUGGGUCUAAAUUAGAUUCAGUGCCUAAGCGAAAGUGAUAAGUAAUCACCUGGGGGAGUACGUUCGCAGAUGAAACUCAAGGAAUUGACGG
rnacentral:rRNA from 1 species